rnacentral:rRNA from 1 species
AUUGAACGCUGGCGGCAUGCCUUACACAUGCAAGUCGAACGGUAACAGGUCUUCGGAUGCUGACGAGUGGCGAACGGGUGAGUAAUACAUCGGAACGUGCCUAGUAGUGGGGGAUAACUACUCGAAAGAGUGGCUAAUACCGCAUGAGAUCUACGGAUGAAAGCAGGGGAUCGCAAGAACUUGUGCUACUAGAGCGGCCGAUAGCAGAUUAGGUAGUUGGUGGGAUAAAAGCUUACCAAGCCGACGAUCUGUAGCUGGUCUGAGAGGACGAUCAGCCACACUGGGACUGAGACACGGCCCAGACUCCUACGGGAGGCAGCAGUGGGGAAUUUUGGACAAUGGGCGCAAGCCUGAUCCAGCAAUGCCGCGUGCAGGAUGAAGGCCUUCGGGUUGUAAACUGCUUUUGUACGGAACGAAAAGCCCCGGGUUAAUACCCUGGGGUCAUGACGGUACCGUAAGAAUAAGCACCGGCUAACUACGUGCCAGCCGCCGCCGUAA